CAGCAGCCACGGUAAUACGUAGGUGGCAAGCGUUGUCCGGAAUUAUUGGGCGUAAAGGGCUCGCAGGCGGUUUCUUAAGUCUGAUGUGAAAGCCCCCGGCUCAACCGGGGAGGGUCAUUGGAAACUGGGAAACUUGAGUGCAGAAGAGGAGAGUGGAAUUCCACGUGUAGCGGUGAAAUGCGUAGAGAUGUGGAGGAACACCAGUGGCGAAGGCGACUCUCUGGUCUGUAACUGACGCUGAGGAGCGAGAGCGUGGGGAGCGAACAGGAUUAGAUACCCCUGUAGUCCCUGUCUCUUAUAA
rnacentral:rRNA from 1 species